rnacentral:rRNA from 1 species
GUGACCCCAGGAUGGGCGAGGCCACCCGCUGAGUUAAG